rnacentral:rRNA from 1 species
CGGUGCCUACGGGAGGCAGCAGUGAGGAAUAUUGGUCAAUGGGAGAGAUCCUGAACCAGCCAAGCCGCGUGAGGGAAGACGGCCCUAUGGGUUGUAAACCUCUUUUGUCGGAGAACAAAACCCGGGACGUGUCCCGGACUGCGUGUAUCCGAAGAAAAAGCAUCGGCUAACUCCGUGCCAGCAGCCGCGGUAAUACGGAGGAUGCGAGCGUUAUCCGGAUUUAUUGGGUUUAAAGGGUGCGUAGGCGGUCCGUUAAGUCAGCGGUAAAAUUGCGGGGCUCAACCCCGUACUGCCGUUGAAACUGC